CCCCAAUGCAUUACCAUUUCCGGUUUGUACUCGAAGAACAAUCUUGUUGCGUGACUCAUCUUUGACUGAGACCGGCAUUUUCCCACAACACCCUGCUCCCGACACUCACAGAUGACGAAAAUGGCGGACCACUCGUCCUCGGUGGAGAUUGUCGAAGGCUGUCGCCUGCCCGUACUUCGCAAAAACCAGGAACACGAGGACGAAUGGCGUAAGUGUUGUCAGAUGCUAAAAGCUAAGGACCCAGCCUCAGAUGGCUGUUGUUAACGGACACAAACACACAGACGGCCUCUGUUUAAAGCACCAAGCUUUACAUUCAAAGAUCAUAUUAAACUCUGCUGUACGGCAGGGUCACUAUGAUGUCCUUCAGUUGGUAGCUUUUAUUCUUAACACCCACUCUCAGCAGUCAGUUACAAUCAUAAGAAAUUAAAGCUGAAGAGAUCAA